AUUCAAUUCAACAAAUCUGUAAAUCCCUAAUUCAAAUCCCCAAUUCAAUUGUAAAUAAUCUGAUCCAUCAAAUUUUUUUCUCAUGGAUUAAUCAAUUGAUAUUGUCAAUUGAUGGUUACUUGUUGCACAUACAAAUUGAUUCACAGAUUUGCCAAAUAAAAAACAAGUAUGUAUUAAUAGAUUGAGGGAAUUCUCACAAGUAAGAACUCAAGAAUUUACAAAAUUUAACCAAAGAAUAAACAUUACAGCUCAUAAACUAUAUAACUACAGUUAAGACUUUAACAGAUGAUGGUCUCAAAGCAGUUCAAGCCAUCCAACUCAGGUGCAAAUCUUGGUCCUCUUCUCUGUUUCUGUUGCUGAGGUGGUUUACUAGCUUGUGCAGUUGGCUUUAAGUUGUUCUCGUUUUGAGUAUUCUUAACUUCAACUUUGUUAACAGUAGUAGUAGUAAAAGAAGAAGACUGGAAUCCAACCUUCUUAUGUAGGAAUAUUCGGCACAAAGAGCAUCAAAAGAACUAAAUAUCGAAUUCAUGAUUAUAAUCGCAAACAAAGACGAAAAAUAAAACUUUGCUUAUGAUGAAGAAGAUGAACAAGUUGAGAAAUUGUUGUAACUUGGUUUGAGUUGUUGUUGUUGUUGAAGCAAAGCAGCAAUCAGCUUGGGUUUUAUAGUGGAGAGAAUCCAACAUCUUUGUACCAUUCUUGAAAGAUACAGAUUUGUUGAAUUGAAUUGGGGAUUUGAAUUAGGGAUUUACAGAUUUGUUGAAUUGAAUUGUUCAAACAGAGAAGGAGUCAAUCACAUGAGAAACAUGUGCCUCAUUUUGAUGUGUUGGAAAUGUUGUUUAACUUUAUUUUAAAAGAAAAAAUACACGUAGAUAAAUAUUAGCCACGUCUGCAGUCCGUUAGCAUGUUUUAGACAGAUUGUAUAACGUGAAAAAAAUUUCAAAGUACAUUGAUGUUUUGACAUGAUUUUUUGUACAUUGUAUAAAGUGAAAAAAAAGUGAAAGUACGUUGUAUUUUUUGAUCAUUUUACCUUAUAUUAUUGGGUUGGGUUGAUAAGAUAUGUGUUUUUUCAAAGGUUUAAGAUUGAUGGGCUUAAGAUUUAUGAGCUAUAAAAAUUGGCCCAUGUUCAGUUUAAGUGUUUGCCUAAUCAUUUUAAAGGUUAUCAAACAGAGAAAUAGUGGCAAAACCAAGUUUUAAAGUGUUUGCCAGUGUUUGCCCGUGGAGUUAUCAAACACUUACAAAAUUUGUUUGCCUCAAAAUUUAUUUGCCUGAAGCCGGCAAAUCACCAUUUGCCUCAAAAUUUGCCGAAUUGCCGAAAACAUCAAUUUGCCAGGAAAAUUUAUCAAACGCACCCUUAGUUCAAAACUUUCAAAUAUAUAAUAUAUAGAGAGAGAGAGAAAUGGCGACAGCAGUUUUGGGGAAGAUGACGACGAUUCUUGUUUGAUUUCUAUCCUUUGAAGCUCAAGGUAUCUUCUUGCAUUGUUUUUCUUCCCCUUUGUUCAAAUUUUCCUUCAGUCUUGAUUGUGUGAAGCAAAAUAGCAUAUUUGUAGGUUUAGGGUUUAUACUAGUUGGUUAUUUUUCAAAAUGUUGUCGAUUCUUUUUGUUAGGUUUAGGGUUUGACAAAAUUUUGGGGUAGGAUAUAAAAUCCUUUUGUCAAUUUGUAAUCUUUCCUUUCACUUGGAUAUUACUUGGAUGCCAUUGAUUUAUUUCUCUUCAAGUCUUCAUUAAGGUUGUUUUGAAUAUUCCACUUUGUGCUCUUUUAGGAUUUAAUUUAAUGAACUAACACAAGAUUUUAGUGACAGUGAAAAUGUUAAGAAAAUGUUAGUGAAUCAAUUUUAUUGUUCGUUUUAUUAUAAUGUUGUUGUAUCCAUGUUGAAUGCUAAAAGUAUAUUUAUAUACUUGUGGUAUGAUUUCAAUCAGAAUGGCGUUUCUUACUUUACAUCGAACAAGUCCUUUGCAAUGGAACCUAUCUAUGGAUUCUCUGUGUGUGCAAAACUAANNNNNNNNNNNNNNNNNNNNNNNNNNNNNNNNNNNNNNNNNNNNNNNNNNNNNNNNNNNNNNNNNNNNNNNNNNNNNNNNNNNNNNNNNNNNNNNNNNNNNNNNNNNNNNNNNGUUAGGAUGCGUGUAAGGAGUUGAGGAGUGAAAUGAGAUUGAUAGACGAUUGUGCACUAGGCCAGGUUUUCAUUUUGAUGUCGACACUUGCAAGGUGCUAGCUGGAGAAAAAGCAUGGGCACAGUUGAAAAAAGACAAAAAAAAAAUAUGUGUAGUGUCAAGGGUAUGGUUUACCCAUUGCACACAGUUGUCCCGCCGCAUCUGGUUCCAAGUUCCAACGAUUGGUGGUGGCUACUGAUAUUGCGCACAAACCAUGAUUAUGUGUUUCAGUUAGCUAGUUUGGUUGUAUUUAAGGAAUAUCGGCACCAGUAUAUAUGUAAUGACAAUUGUAAGUUGUGGACAAAGUAGAAUUAAUUUGUAAUAUUAUUUCGCUAAUUAUGUUAUGUGUUGGGUUUCAAGAAUGAUUUAUAUUAUGAACUGUCUGCAGGUUGCGAACAAUUAUGUAGUAAGGUUAGACAUGUAAACGUGAUGAAAGGGUUUGACAUGUUUGUAUUUGGACAUGUUUGUAUUUGGACAUGUUUAUAAAUUUGCGUGUUAAUGUUUCUGGCUAAUAACCCUAAACCCUUUUCAUGUAUUAUUCAGUCUACGGUAACAACAACCACCACAAUUAUAAUACGGUCCACACUCCACACCAUACCUGUAAAGAUCAGGUACCAUUCUAAUGCUGAAAAUUCGAUGAAGUACAUUGGUGUGAUUUAACACAUGGAGAAUGAACAUUGGGGUGUGAUUUAACACAUGGAUAAAGAACGAAAGUAAUAAUAAAAUUAUACCAAUAGUCAAAUUAAAAUUAAGAACUAGUCAACACACAGCAUUGCUUGAAAUUUGGAAUCAGAAUACAUAUCAGAUGUGUCAAUGUCAAAUUCUUCUGAAAGGUAUGAAAAACAUAAAACGCAUUGUCACUUCUUCAAUCGUCUUUCAGACUCCAAUAAGUAGAACCAUUUGGUUCUCUGUGCAAAUACGCAUUGCCCAUAUCUGUAACGGCCAAAUCUGUACCUAUAAACAAACCCAAGAAAUAAUUGGUAUACCUUACUUAAAAAACUUACUUACGCAAAUUAAUCAUGGUUCAAACGCAAUUGUUCUAAGUAGUAAACUAUGACAGUCGUUCAAAUACAGUUGUUCAAAGUAGUAAACAAACUAUGACAGUCGUUCAAAUGCAGUUGUUCAAAGUAGUAAACUAUGACAGUCGUUCAAAUGCAGUUGUUCUAAGUAGUAAACUAUGACAGUCGAAACACACGGAAUUCUUACUUUGUUGUCUCAUCGGACAAGAAGCAGCAUUUUUCCUAUGACCCACAGUCUUGCACAAGCUGCAUGUGAAAGUCCUACGAACAUUUAAUUCUUUCUCCACAUCAGCAUCGACUCCCAUUGUUUCACCUGUCUCAGCCAUGUUAUCAACGGGGUCUGUUUCACCUACAUUUGUUGGGACACAUCAAACUAACAUACAAAAUAACAAGCCGCAAGGUUAAACAAGGUCAAGUCAGUAAUUCUACCUCUCGGAGAAUCCUGUUCAUGAUCAGUGACCUCAUCAUCACUAAGUAGACCUGCCCUUCCCCAAAAUGANNNNNNNNNNNNNNNNNNNNNNNNNNNNNNNNNNNNNNNNNNNNNNNNNNNNNNNNNNNNNNNNNNNNNNNNNNNNNNNNNNNNNNNNNNNNNNNNNNNNAUUUCCAACACAUCAAAAUGAGGCACAUGUUUCUCAUGUGAUUGACUCCUUCUCUAUUUGAACAAUUCAAUUCAACAAAUCUGUAAAUCCCUAAUUCAAAUCCCCAAUUCAAUUGUAAAUAAUCUGAUCCAUCAAAUUUUUUUCUCAUGGAUUAAUCAAUUGAUAUUGUCAAUUGAUGGUUACUUGUUGCACAUACAAAUUGAUUCACAGAUUUGCCAAAUAAAAAACAAGUAUGUAUUAAUAGAUUGAGGGAAUUCUCACAAGUAAGAACUCAAGAAUUUACAAAAUUUAACCAAAGAAUAAACAUUACAGCUCAUAAACUAUAUAACUACAGUUAAGACUUUAACAGAUGAUGGUCUCAAAGCAGUUCAAGCCAUCCAACUCAGGUGCAAAUCUUGGUCCUCUUCUCUGUUUCUGUUGCUGAGGUGGUUUACUAGCUUGUGCAGUUGGCUUUAAGUUGUUCUCGUUUUGAGUAUUCUUAACUUCAACUUUGUUAACAGUAGUAGUAGUAAAAGAAGAAGACUGGAAUCCAACCUUCUUAUGUAGGAAUAUUCGGCACAAAGAGCAUCAAAAGAACUAAAUAUCGAAUUCAUGAUUAUAAUCGCAAACAAAGACGAAAAAUAAAACUUUGCUUAUGAUGAAGAAGAUGAACAAGUUGAGAAAUUGUUGUAACUUGGUUUGAGUUGUUGUUGUUGUUGAAGCAAAGCAGCAAUCAGCUUGGGUUUUAUAGUGGAGAGAAUCCAACAUCUUUGUACCAUUCUUGAAAGAUACAGAUUUGUUGA
rnacentral:lncRNA from 1 species